GACGAACGCUGGCGGCGUGCUUAACACAUGCAAGUCGAACGGAAAGGCCCUGCUUGCAGGGUACUCGAGUGGCGAACGGGUGAGUAACACGUGGGUGAUCUGCCCUGCACUUCGGGAUAAGCCUGGGAAACUGGGUCUAAUACCGGAUAGGAGCCAUUUUUAGUGUGAUGGUUGGAAAGUUUUUUCGGUGUAGGAUGAGCUCGCGGCCUAUCAGCUUGUUGGUGGGGUAAUGGCCUACCAAGGCGGCGACGGGUAGCCGGCCUGAGAGGGUGGACGGCCACAUUGGGACUGAGAUACGGCCCAGACUCCUACGGGAGGCAGCAGGGGGGAAUAUUGCACAAUGGGCGCAAGCCUGAUGCAGCGACGCCGCGUGGGGGAUGACGGCCUUCGGGUUGUAAACUCCUUUCGCUAGGGACGAAGCUUUUGUGACGGUACCUAGAUAAGAAGCACCGGCUAACUACGU
rnacentral:rRNA from 1 species